rnacentral:rRNA from 1 species
ACGAAGCGCUACCGACGGAACUUUUCGGAGGGAAGAUGGUAAUGACUGAGUGGCGGACGGGUGAGUAACGCGUGGGUAACCUGCCUCACAGAGGGGGACAACAGCCGGAAACGGCUGCUAAUACCGCAUAACAAGGGAUCUCCGCAUGAAGGUUCCUUCAAAGAUUUAUCGCUGUGAGAUGGACCCGCGUCUGAUUAGCUAGUUGGCAGGGUAACGGCCUACCAAGGCGACGAUCAGUAGCCGGCUUGAGAGAGUGAACGGCCACAUUGGGACUGAGACACGGCCCAGACUCCUACGGGAGGCAGCAGUGGGGAAUAUUGCACAAUGGGGGAAACCCUGAUGCAGCGACGCCGCGUGAGUGAAGAAGUAUUUCGGUAUGUAAAGCUCUAUCAUCAGGGAACAUAAUGACGGUACCUGACUAACAAGCCCCGGCUAACUACUUGCCACCACCCCCACUAAUACGUAGGGGGCAAACCUUAUCCGGAUUUACUUAAUCUAAAAUAAACCUANAUNACAAAACAACUCANAUNUAAAAACCCNNNACUCAACCCCNNAAUUCCAUCCCCCCCCUCUCCCNNCCUANANCUCCACCCACCACCUAACCUCCAAUUCUCUACUCUANCAAUAAAAUGCAUAUAUUUUAGGGGAAACCCCCCUNNCNNNNNCNCNCUUCCUNCCCUCUNNCUNNCNCUNNNCCUCNAAANCNUNNNNACCCCUCAAGGGNNNNNCCNNNNNNNUCCNCNCANNNNACGACCUCUUAGGAUGUCGGGGCCCACAGGGCUUCGGUGCCGCAGCAAACGCAUUAAGUAUUCCACCUGGGGAGUACGUUCGCAAGAAUGAAACUCAAAGGAAUUGACGGGGACCCGCACAAGCGGUGGAGCAUGUGGUUUAAUUUGAAGCAACGCGGAGAACCUUACCAAGCCUUGACAUCCUGCUGACCGUCCCUUAGCCGGGGCUUCCCUUCGGGGCAGCAGAGACAGGUGGUGCAUGGUUGUCGUCAGCUCGUGUCGUGAGAUGUUGGGUUAAGUCCCGCAACGAGCGCAACCCUUAUCCUUAGUAGCCAGCAUAUCAGAUGGGAACUCUGGGGAGACUGCCGGAGACAAUCCGGAGGAAGGUGGGGAUGACGUCAAAUCAUCAUGCCCCUUAUGGCUUGGGCUACUCACGUGCUACAAUGGUGGUAACAAAGUGACGCGACCCCGUGAGGGCAAGCCAACCACAAAAAAGCCAUCUCAGUUCGGAUUGUAGUCUGCAACCCGACUACAUGAAGCUGGAAUCGCUAGUAAUC